rnacentral:rRNA from 1 species
CCCCCAGUAGCGGCGAGCGAACGGGGAGCAGCCCAGAGCCUGAAUCAGUGUGUGUGUUAGUGGAAGCGUCUGGAAAGGCGCGCGAUACAGGGUGACAGCCCCGUACACAAAAAUGCACAUGCUGUGAGCUCGAUGAGUAGGGCGGGACACGUGGUAUCCUGUCUGAAUAUGGGGGGACCAUCCUCCAAGGCUAAAUACUCCUGACUGACCGAUAGUGAACCAGUACCGUGAGGGAAAGGCGAAAAGAACCCCGGCGAGGGGAGUGAAAAAGAACCUGAAACCGUGUACGUACAAGCAGUGGGAGCACGCUUAGGCGUGUGACUGCGUACCUUUUGUAUAAUGGGUCAGCGACUUAUAUUCUGUAGCAAGGUUAACCGAAUAGGGGAGCCGAAGGGAAACCGAGUCUUAACUGGGCGUUAAGUUGCAGGGUAUAGACCCGAAACCCGGUGAUCUAGCCAUGGGCAGGUUGAAGGUUGGGUAACACUAACUGGAGGACCGAACCGACUAAUGUUGAAAAAUUAGCGGAUGACUUGUGGCUGGGGGUGAAAGGCCAAUCAAACCGGGAGAUAGCUGGUUCUCCCCGAAAGCUAUUUAGGUAGCGCCUCGUGAAUUCAUCUCCGGGGGUAGAGCACUGUUUCGGCAAGGGGGUCAUCCCGACUUACCAACCCGAUGCAAACUGCGAAUACCGGAGAAUGUUAUCACGGGAGACACACGGCGGGUGCUAACGUCCGUCGUGAAGAGGGAAACAACCCAGACCGCCAGCUAAGGUCCCAAAGUCAUGGUUAAGUGGGAAACGAUGUGGGAAGGCCCAGACAGCCAGGAUGUUGGCUUAGAAGCAGCCAUCAUUUAAAGAAAGCGUAAUAGCUCACUGGUCGAGUCGGCCUGCGCGGAAGAUGUAACGGGGCUAAACCAUGCACCGAAGCUGCGGCAGCGACGCUUAUGCGUUGUUGGGUAGGGGAGCGUUCUGUAAGCCUGUGAAGGUGUGCUGUGAGGCAUGCUGGAGGUAUCAGAAGUGCGAAUGCUGACAUAAGUAACGAUAAAGCGGGUGAAAAGCCCGCUCGCCGGAAGACCAAGGGUUCCUGUCCAACGUUAAUCGGGGCAGGGUGAGUCGACCCCUAAGGCGAGGCCGAAAGGCGUAGUCGAUGGGAAACAGGUUAAUAUUCCUGUACUUGGUGUUACUGCGAAGGGGGGACGGAGAAGGCUAUGUUGGCCGGGCGACGGUUGUCCCGGUUUAAGCGUGUAGGCUGGUUUUCCAGGCAAAUCCGGAAAAUCAAGGCUGAGGCGUGAUGACGAGGCACUACGGUGCUGAAGCAACAAAUGCCCUGCUUCCAGGAA